GUGGGGAAUAUUCCGCAAUGGACGAAAGUCUGACGGAGCAACGCCGCGUGAGUGAUGAAGGUUUUCGGACUGUAAAGCUCUGUUGUUUAGGACGAAAGUGCCUGUUGCAAAUAGUUACAGGUAUUGACGGUACUGAACGAGGAAGCCACGGCUAACUACGUGCCAGCAGCCGCGGUAAUACGUAGGUGGCAAGCGUUGUCCGGAAUUAUUGGGCGUAAAGAGCAUGUAGGCGGGAAUCUAAGUCUGUUGUGAAAAUGCGGGGCUCAACCCCGUAUUGCGAUGGAAACUGGGUUUCUUGAGUGCAGGAGAGGAAAGGGGAAUUCCCAGUGUAGCGGUGAAAUGCGUAGAUAUUGGGAGGAACACCAGUGGCGAAGGCGCCUUUCUGGACUGUGUCUGACGCUGAGAUGCGAAAGCCAGGGUAGCGAACGGGAUUAGAAACCCCGGUAGUCC
rnacentral:rRNA from 1 species